rnacentral:rRNA from 1 species
UUCCAGAGUCAUUCCGCACCUCAGGCACUGAACUUGUUAUGACUCAUAAGCUAAGCAAGGUCAGGCCUGGUCAGGCUCGGCAUUUAAAUGGGGAACUUCUAAGAGAAACCCAGGUGUUCUGGGGA